GACCAAAUAUUAAGGGCUUAUGGUGGAUGCCUUGACAUCAAGAGGCGAUGAAGGGCGUGGCGUGACUGCGAUAAGCUUCGGGGAGGUGUCUAGCAACCUUUGAUCCGGAGAUUUCCGAAUGGGGAAACCCAAUUGAGCAAACCUCAAUUAUCCCGCAGCAAUGCGAGGAGCGAACCCGCUGAAGUGAAACAUCUCAGUAAGCGGAGGAAAAGAAAAUAAUAUCAGCUUUGCUGAUUCAUUCCCUUAGUAGCGGCGAGCGAACGGGGAAGAGCCUAAACCAGUGCGAAGCACUGGAAUUUUGAAGCUUGAAUUUUGAAUUAUGAACGAAUUUUUAAUAAUUUAAUUUUUAAUUAAACAUUAAGAUAUUCUGAUUUGAAUCAAAAUUCGAAAUUAGAAAUUCGAAAUUCCGCUGCUUCGCAGUGGUGUUGCAAGGUAGUAACGUUCCGGAGCAUCUCACACCUUAUGAAUUUUCACGAGGUGUGGGAUUCAUUCCGGAGGGAGUCCACAAAAAUAAAGUUUACCCUGAGUUUAUCGAGGGGCAUUGUUAAUCAAAUCUCGCUGGAAAGCGGAACCAAAGAGGGUAAUAGUCCCGUAGGUGAAAACAGCUUUAUGCUCCUAGUUAUUAUUCUUAAGUACGGCGAGGCACGAAAACCUUGUCGGAAGCCGGCAGGACUACUCUGCCAAGGCUAAAUACUCUUGAUGAUCGAUAGUGAACUAGUACCGUGAGGGAAAGGUGAAAAAUAGCCCGGUAAGGGCGGUGAAAUAGAUCUGAAACCAUAAGCUUACAAAGAAUGGGAGCCGUGCAUAGCACGGAAUUCCUAAUUCACCUAAUUCCUAAUUCACCUAAUAAAAUGCCUAAUGACUAAUGUCUGAAUACAUUUGGCCAUUGGUUAUUGUGAGCGGGACGCUCACGCAAGCUACGCUUAAUUAGAAUUUGAAUUUUAUUAGAAAUUAGACAAUUAGAAAUUAGAAAUUCCGCGCUGUGCGCGGUGACCGUGUGCUUUUUGCAGAACGAGCCAACGAGUCCGAGUGCAUAGCUUGUCUAAGUCCUAUGGGACGGAGGCGAAGCGAAAGCGAGUGUUAAAAGCGCGUCGGCGAUUUAUUCGUCGUGCUGUGCGCUCGGGACCCGAAGCCAGAGCGAGCUUACCAUGAGCAGGGUGAACCCCGCGUAAAAGUGGGGGGAGGCCCGCACCCGUUGGUCGUACAACGCCAUGGGAUGACUUGUGGUAAGAAGUGAAAAGCUAAUCGAGCCUGGUAAUAGCUGGUUCUCCCCGAAAUAGCUUUAGGGCUAGCCUCGAUUGAUUGGCCGCGGAGGUAGAGCACUGAAUGGAUGCGGAUGGUUUUUCCUACCGUAUCCAAACAAACUCCGAAUGCCGCGGUUUUCAAAUCGGGAGUUAGACUACGGGGGCUAAGCUCCGUGGUCAAAAGGGAAACAGCCCAGAUCAUCAUCUAAGGUCCCUAAAUCGAACUAAGUGUGAAAGGAAGUGUCCUGACUUUGACAGGUAGGAGGUUGGCUUAGAAGCAGCCACCCUUUAAAGAGUGCGUAACAGCUCACUAUUCUAUUAUGCCAGGGCGCGCCGAAGAUGUAUGGGACUAAGUUCGAUACCGAAGAUAUGGGUCUGCCGUAAGCAGACAUACACUAAUUUAACUAAUAUAUACACGAAAUAAACGGACAGAUUUUAGUUUUAUUCGUUGGUAUUGGUUUUUUUAGUGUAUGCCCGCUGAAAGCAGGCGGUAGGGGAGCAUUCCCGUUGCAGUGAAGGUUCGAUGUGAGUCGGGCUGGAGCGGCGGGAAGCGAGAAUGUUGGCAUGAGUAACCACAAUUCCGGUGAGAGACCGGAACACCGCAAGCCUAAGGUUUCCUUGGCAAUGCUAGUCAACCAAGGGUUAGCCGGAUCUAAGCGUGCUCCGCGCCUAGUUUGUUAGUUAUACCCUCAUAACGAGUGAGUGAAAUUAUGAUCAACUAAUGAACUGCGCGCGAAGCACGCGAUGUGCAGCAGGUUAAUAUUCCUGCGCUUCCUUAUUUUUUCGAUGAAGUGACGGAGUUUAGUAGUCCGAGUGGUUUAUUGGAUUACCAUUCUUUGUCUAAGGAUGCUUAUCAGGUAAAUCCGGUAAGCGUUAAAUCCAAGGGUUGAGAAAAGGUUGGUUUCGACCAACCGAUUCGGAUGAGCAAGCUUCCGAGAAAAGCUUCUAGAGUUAAGGAUAAGGAACCCGUACCGAAAACCGACACAGGUGGGCGAGGCGAGUAGCCUAAGGUGAACGGGUGAUUCCUCGUUAAGGAACUCGGCAAAAUAGCGUUCGUAAGUUAGCGAUAAGGACUCCCCGCAGCAAUGCGGGGCGCAGCGAAAGACCCCUAGCGACUGUUUAUCAAAAACACAGCUCCCUGCUUAACUCGCAAGAGGAUGUAUAGGGGGUGACGCCUGACCAGUGCUGGAAUGUUAAUGAUGCCGGUUGCUGUUUGCUUUCGGGUGGAUGGCGGCUGAGUGUCUGAAGCACCAGUAAACGUCCGCGGUAACUAUAACCGUGUUAAUGUAGCGAAAUUCCUUGUCUGGUAAGUUCAGACCCGCAUGAAAGGCGUAACGACUGGGGGACUGUCUCAACGAGGAGCCCGGUGAAAAUGCAAUGUCGGUAAAGAUGCCGACUACCUGCGGCUAGACGAAAAGACCCCGGGAGCUUUACUAUAGAGUGGUAUUGAAUUAUGGGUUUAGAUGCGUAGCGUAGCCGGGAGGCUUUGAAGCCCCAUUUUCGGAUGGGGUGGAGCCGCCAAUGAAACACCGGCCUUCUGGGUCUAUAAUUCUAACUCCCCGCGUAAAAGCGGGGGAGACAGUGCCACUUGGGUAGUUUAAGUGGGGCGCUUGCCUCCUAAAGAGUAGCGGAGGCGCUUAUAAGGUUGGCUAGGGCCGGAUGGAAACCGGUCUGAUAGCGUAAAGGCAUAAGCCAGCUUUACUGCAAGACGUACAUGUCGCGCUCAUAAAUUUUAAUUUAUGACGGCGUAUUUUUUAAUUAAGAUGCGUUGAGUUGCGAAAGCAGAACUUAGUGAACCGACCGCUCUUCGUAGAAAGGCGGAAGAUCAUCAGACAAAAGCUACCCCGGGGAUAACAGGCUGGUCGUGCCCAAGAGUCCAUAUCGACGGCACGGUUCGGCACCUCGAUGUCGGCUCAUCACAUCCUGGAGGGGGAGCACCUUCCAAGGGUAUGGCUGUUCGCCAUUUAAAGUGGUACGUGAGCUGGGUUCAAACCGUCAACCAAAACUUGUUGCUGUUAAACAAGUUUGGCGGCUCCCGAUAGCAAUAUCGGGAUGCAAAAACUGACUCAUAUCGGUGAAAUCCUAGUAGACAUUCAACCUGUCGUAUGCUAGGAUAAUACCGAGGGAAGUUUUAAAUUAUUUUGCGAUGAAAAAGUUGUCUAGUGCUAGAUUAUCUUAUAUAGCCGGAUUCCUUGAUGGAGACGGAAGUGUGUAUAUCAAGCUGACAAAAAAUAAAACUUAUCGGUUUAAAUAUCAGGUAAGUUCUUAUAUUGUUUUUUAUCAAAGUAGUAUUAAUAUACAAUUUCUUCAAAAUCUUCAAAAAGAAUUAAGUAUUGGCUAUGUAAGAAAAAGAAAUGAUGGAGUUUCGGAGUUUAUUAUAGGCGACGAGAAAUCUCAAUUAGAAUUAAUUGAGAAAAUAUUGCCCUACACGAAACUUAAACUGGAGCAGCUUCAAUUGAUGAAGAAAAUAUUGCGUAAAAAGAAAUUUGUGAAAUGCGCAGAUGGCUUUCUGAAGCUUUGUGGACUAAUUGAUGGAUAUAAAAAUCUCAAUUAUUCUAAAAAGCGAUCUCAAAAUAGUAUUGAGGUUAGAAAAGUAUUGGUGCAAAAUAAUUUAAUAACCCCGUAGAGACUGUGGAAAUAUUACUAGUAUUUCCCGAUUCAAUCGUAAAUGGUUGGAUAAAACGUCAGUACUCCAAUUGAAUUGGAGUGUGGUAUAGUCCAUGCCAUUGGUAACAAUGGAAAAUUACGAUAGUUUCGUAAAUACAUGCGUGAGACAGGUUGGUCUCCUAUCUGCCGCAGGCGUUAGAAGUUUGAGGGAAGUCUUUCCUAGUACGAGAGGACCGGAAAGAACGAACCUCUGGUCUACCAGUUGUCCUGCCAAGGGCAUUGCUGGGUAGCUAAGUUCGGACGGGAUAAGCGCUGAAAGCAUAUAAGCGCGAAGCCUCUCCCGAGAUUAGACUUCAUAGAUUCCUUGUAGAUGACAAGGUUGAUAGGCCAUAGGUGGAAGCGCAGCAAUGCGUGAAGCCGAGUGGUACUAAUAAAUCAUUUUUGGU
rnacentral:rRNA from 1 species